GCCUGGGUGGCUCAUUUGGUUAAGCAUCAGACUUCGGCUCAGGUCAUGAUCUCACGGUCUGUGGGUUCGAGCCCUGUCUCGGGCU
rfam:Felis catus isolate Cinnamon breed Abyssinian chromosome C2, whole genome shotgun sequence.